UACGAAGGGGGCUAGCGUUGCUCGGAAUUACUGGGCGUAAAGGGCGCGUAGGCGGAUACUUAAGUUAGAGGUGAAAGCCCCGGGCUUAACCUGGGAAUGGCCGUUGAAACUGGCGAACUGGAGUGUGGCAGAGGGGGGUGGAAUUCCGCGUGUAGCAGUGAAAUGCGUAGAGAUGCGGAGGAACACCGAUGGCGAAGGCAGCCCCCUGGGGCUAACACUGACGCUCAGGCACGAAAGCGUGGGGAGCAAACAGG
rnacentral:rRNA from 1 species